UACGGGGGGGGGCAAGCGUUGUUCGGAAUUACUGGGCGUAAAGGGCUCGUAGGCGGCCAACUAAGUCAGACGUGAAAUCCCUCGGCUUAACCGGGGAACUGCGUCUGAUACUGGAUGGCUUGAGUUUGGGAGAGGGAUGCGGAAUUCCAGGUGUAGCGGUGGAAAUGCGUAGAUAUCAAGGAGGAACACCGGUGGCGAAGGCGGUUCUCUGGGCAUUACCUGACGCUGAGGAGCGAAAGUGUGGGGAGCGAACAGG
rnacentral:rRNA from 1 species